UUUUGGCAUGUCUGAUGUCUCACAGCUCUCAUUUGUAUGCUUCCUCCACUCUACUAGAUUAAUAGAACAUAGCAUCGAUCACAAAAACACUUGGAAUGGACUUCGUCACUAUUCUGUUAGAUACCUAUUGCAAAUUCUUCUUGCAAUGGUUCUUUGAACUUUGUAAAACAGCAGGACACUCUGUACUGGCCUAUUAUUUCUACCACAAAGGCGACAGAGCUUCUCUAACAAUCAUUCAUGUGUCAUUUUGAGUGCUAUAUAUUUUGUUAGCAAAAAAAGUGGCAUGCUAAGUUAUAUUUUGUUACAAUGUACUACCUUUGAUCUUCAGUUUUGGAUAAUAGUUACAAUUGAAAAAACUUUCCUAAAGCCA